rnacentral:rRNA from 1 species
AGAGACAGCAGCAGCCGCGGUAAUACGUAGGGCGCGAGCGUUGUCCGGAAUCAUUGGGCGUAAAGCGCGUGUAGGCGGCUGAGUAAGUCUGCUGUGAAAGUCCAGGGCUCAACCCUGGAAUGUCGGCGGAUACUGCUCAGCUGGAGUACGGGAGGGGCGAGUGGAAUUCCUGGUGUAGCGGUGGAAUGCGCAGAUAUCAGGAGGAACACCUAUGGCGAAGGCAGCUCGCUGGAACGUUACUGACGCUGAGACGCGAAAGCGUGGGGAGCAAACAGGAUUAGAUACCCCCGUAGUCCCUGUCUCUUAUAC